rnacentral:rRNA from 1 species
GACGAACGCUGGCGGUGUGCCUAACACAUGCAAGUCGAACGGAAAGGCCCUGCUUUCGUGCUCUGCUCGAGUGGCGAACGGGUGCGUAACACGUGAGUAACCUGCUCUAGACUUUGGUGUAACUUCAGGAAACUGGGGCUAAUACCGGAUAGGAGCCCCCGUUGGAUGGUGGGGGUUGGAUCUUUUUGGCGGUUGGGGUUGGACGCGCGGGUUAUGGGCUUGUUGGUUGGGUGGGGGUUUACCAAGUAUUUGACGGGUCCCCGACAUGUGUGGGUGAACGGGCACCUUGGGACUGCGAUACGGCCCAGACUGCUACGGUGGGCAGCGGGCGGGAGUAUUGCACAAUGGGCGCAAGCCUGAGGCAGCAACGCUGCGGGCGGAAUGACGGCCUGCGGGUAGAGAACCGCAUCCGCCUGUGACGAAGCUUUAGUGACGGUAAUGAGAGAAGAAGCACCGGCUAACUACGUG